rnacentral:lncRNA from 1 species
AAAAUAAAUUACUUUGGGCAAAUAAAACCUUUGAUAGUGGUAGAUGUCAUGGAAAAAGAGAACAGUGUGAAUUUCCCUUUUGUACCAAGCGGUACUAAAAAAAUGAAAAAGUUCAUGACACUGCAACUAUUACUGUGCAGACCCACAUUGUUACAUAUAUAUAUAUACAAUUUUUAGAUAUAUCAUUGACAAAUUGACUCUAUGGUCAUCAUGACUAAGAACAAAAGGCAAAAGGGUCUAGGCCAACAACUGUCAUUAUUAUUAGCUAUAAACGUGGCUGAAUGGAGCUGAGCUACCCAGCAAAUAACGAAACAGGCCCUCCUUUGCUAACCCGACCACCCCCCUCUCCUCCCUCUGCACAACUUUCUUCUGUUUCUGCAAAUAAUGUGGUGGACACACAAGCACACACACACACACAACUUCUUCAACUGCACAACUUUCUUCUGUUUCUGCAAAUAAUGUGGUGGACACACAAGCACACACAACUUCUUCAACUGACCAAUAAAAAAGAUCAGGAACUAAAGAAUGGCCACGAAGUUUCCCCUUCAAGACGAGCUGCACCUACAGGCUUUCUUCAAAAGGCUGUUUACCCACCCUUGCAUCCCUCAUCCAGCCCCUGGCCUACCACAGGCAGUGAGUGCAGCAAAUCGCACAAAAACAGAAGCUAUCGCAGAACAGAAUCAACAAUUAUGGGCCAAUCAAAUCUCUGGGGUAAGCAAUCACUCAUAUACACAUAUGUUAAUGAUAAAACCCUCUCGGACUGUGAUCCGAUGGAAGACAAGUUUCUAUUGGGUUAAACGAGUCAUAAUGACUCUAAGGUAGCCUAAAGACCAGUCCUCUUUCCAUGGAGUCAGUUUGUCUUGGAUGUAGCUCUGUGCAUGUGAUGAGCCACUAUUUUAAAUGUUAACAUGUGUUUUUCAUAAUAAUUUCGUAGUAACUCAGGUUACUCAGGUGCAUGAUAGUUAUAUUUUGAGCUCACUGUUAUUGUUUGCUAAGAGUCCUUAUGACCUCUUUACUUACUUUUUAUUUACCCUGAUACAGUGAUGAUACAGUGUUAGUGGCCAUUCAAAUAUUCUAUCUAUGCUUCUGCUGGGAGCAUUCUCUGAUAUGAUGCUUCUAACCUUCAGAAAUAUCGUACCUGCUGUUUAAUUUUGGCUUUACCACCAAAAAAUAUACACUGUGGUAGCACAUUUUGACAUAGUUGUAUAAUUUAGACAAAACACUGGUUCGGUUCAUGGACCGACAACGCUUCAGUUGUAUGAUUUGAGCAUACUGUUAUUAUUUGCUUGAGAGCUAAUAAAAAUGUAUUGACGAUUUAAAAAAAAAUCUUC